GAACAGUCUAACAUCCAACAGCCUUUUUAUUAGAACAUCUUUAAUGUGACUCUGCAAGAUACAUCAUAAACUGUCAAAGCAACUGAGAUCAUCUUCAAUGUGACAUAAACUGUCAAAGCAACUGAGAUCAUCUUCAAUGUGACUCAACACCUGCAAGAUACAUCAUAAACUGUCAAGCAACUGAGAUGAGAAAGUGAGCUGUUAGAUGCUAUAGAGCUAACUGUUACACUAACCUCAGUUGUAAUCAGAAAAUAAUUUUUUCUUCAAAUACUUCAUUGUAUUUGCAUGCUCUAGCUUUUUUUUUGCCCCAUUAGCCUUGGGAUUUCUUCCUCCAGAUCCUCCAGGUCUACAUGCUCAAGAUAAUCUUCACCAAACAAGUAUUAAUUUUAGCCCAGUGAGAUCAAUUUUCCUACUGAGCUUAUUGUGCAGUAUGACUGUAUGAGUCAUUUUAUUAUAAUCAAAGUGCUCUCACAUGAAAAACUACCUCCGCCUUGAGCAGAUCUCGCGCCGCCACCGCUGCCCUGCUGCUCCGCUUGCCGCAUGGUUGCUAUCGCCGCUGGUAGGGUUAGUCGCCGGUGCAGGGUCGAGGGGAUUAUUUAGGGAGGAGCAUGGCGGAGAGGAAGAUUUGGGGGAAGAAGCGCGUGCUUCUUCGGCGCUAGACGGAACGCCGGAAAAACGCGCGCGCGGCCGAGCACAACGGAUCCACGCCGCCGUCGAUGACACGGAGCGGAACGUACAACGCGCUCCGGGACUCGGCGUUUUGCGUCGGAGGACGCGCGCGUGCCGUCGAGGAACGAGACGACGGCAACGCCCUCUCUCUUCAGUUAAUGACUGCCACGGAGGCUAAUU
rnacentral:lncRNA from 1 species